GGCUGAAUGGGUACAAGACAGCGAAGAGGUAAAGGGGGAGAUAAAGGAAGGUAAUUAAAAAGAGGGUUUUAAAGAUAAACCUCUACAUAACAAAAACCUCUACGAUCUCUCCCUUUUUAAUUACCUCCCUUUAUCUCCCCCUUUACCUCUUCGCUGUCUUGUACCUACCUACCCAUU
rnacentral:miRNA from 1 species